UACGAAGGGGGGCUAGCGUUGCUCGGAAUCACUGGGCGUAAAGCGCACGUAGGCGGCUUUUUAAGUCAGGGGGUGAAAUCCUGGAGCUCAACUCCAGAACUGCCUUUGAUACUGGGAAGCUUGAGUCCGGAAGAGGUGAGUGGAACUCCGAGUGUAGAGGUGAAAUUCGUAGAUAUUCGGAAGAACACCAGUGGCGAAGGCGGCUCACUGGUCCGGUACUGACGCUGAGGUGCGAAAGCGUGGGGAGCAAACAGG
rnacentral:rRNA from 1 species